UACGGAGGGUGCAAGCGUUGUUCGGAAUUACUGGGCGUAAAGCGCGUGUAGGCGGAUUCGGAAGUCGGGUGUGAAAGCCCUGGGCUUAACCCAGGAAGUGCGCCCGAAACCACGAGUCUUGAGGUCCGGAGGGGAUCGGGGAAUUCCCAGUGUAGAGGUGAAAUUCGUAGAUAUUGGGAGGAACACCGGUGGCGAAGGCGCCGAUCUGGACGGAUUCUGACGCUGAGACGCGAAAGCGUGGGUAGCAAACAGG
rnacentral:rRNA from 1 species